rnacentral:misc_RNA from 1 species
UCUCCGUAGGUGAACCUGCGGAGGGAUCAUUACAGAGUUCAUGCCCUACCGGGUCGAUCUCCCACCCUAUGUUAUUAUUACUUUGUUGCUUUGGCGGGCCGUUAGGCUCCGGCCCGACUACCGCCCCCGGCUGGUACGCGCCCGCCAGAGGACCCAAAACCCUGAAUAUUAGUGUCGUCUGAGCACUAUAUAAUAGUUAAAACUUUCAACAACGGAUCUCUUGGUUCUG